rnacentral:rRNA from 1 species
AUUAGAGUUUGAUCCUGGCUCAGAUUGAACGCUGGCGGCAAGGCUUAACACAAUGCAAGUCGAGCGGGGGAGAUUGCUUCGGUAAUUGACCUAGCGGCGGACGGGUGAGUAAUACUUAGGAAUCUGCCUAUUAAUGGGGGACAACAUCUCGAAAGGGAUGCUAAUACCGCAUACGCCCUACGGGGGAAACGAGGGGAUCACUUGUGACCUUGCGUUAAUAGAUGAGCCUAAGUCGGAUUAGCUAGUUGGUGGGGGUAAAGGCCUACCAAGGCGACGAUCUGUAGCGGGUCUGAGAGGAUGAUCCGCCACAACUGGGACUGAGACACGGCCCAGACUCCUACGGGAGGCAGCAGUGGGGAAUAUUGGACAAUGGGGGGAACCCUGAUCCAGCCAUCGCCGCGUGUGUGAAGAAGGCCUUAUGGUUGUAAAGCACUAUUAAACGAGGAGGAGGCUCUUCUAGUUAAUACCUAGGAUGAGUGGUCGUU